GAUGAACGCUGGCGGCGUGCCUAAUACAUGCAAGUCGAGCGAACAGACGAGGAGCUUGCUCCUCUGACGUUAGCGGCGGACGGGUGAGUAACACGUGGAUAACCUACCUAUAAGACUGGGAUAACUUCGGGAAACCGGAGCUAAUACCGGAUAAUAUAUUGAACCGCAUGGUUCAAUAGUGAAAGACGGUUUUGCUGUCACUUAUAGAUGGAUCCGCGCCGCAUUAGCUAGUUGGUAAGGUAACGGCUUACCAAGGCAACGAUGCGUAGCCGACCUGAGAGGGUGAACGGCCACACUGGAACUGAGACACGGUCCAGACUCCUACGGGAGGCAGCAGUAGGGAAUCUUCCGCAAUGGGCGAAAGCCUGACGGAGCAACGCCGCGUGAGUGAUGAAGGUCUUCGGAUCGUAAAACUCUGUUAUUAGGGAAGAACAAAUGUGUAAGUAACUAUGCACGUCUUGACGGUACCUAAUCAGAAAGCCACGGCUAACUACGU
rnacentral:rRNA from 1 species